UACGGCGAGAUCACGUUGAAACACAACGAUCCCGUACGAUCACUGAUGUUAAGCUACGUCGAGUCUGGUCAGGACCGAGAUGGGUGACCGUUUGGGAAUACUAGA